rnacentral:rRNA from 1 species
UAGGGAAUCUUCCGCAAUGGACGCAAGUCUGACGGAGCAACGCCGCGUGAGUGAAGAAGGAUUUCGGUUCGUAAAACUCUGUUGUUAGAGAAGAACAGCGCAUAGAGUAACUGUUAUGCGUGUGACGGUAUCUAACCAGAAAGCCACGGCUAACUACGUGCCAGCAGCCGCGGUAAUACGUAGGUGGCAAGCGUUGUCCGGAUUUAUUGGGCGUAAAGCGAGCGCAGGCGGUCAAUUAAGUCUGAUGUGAAAGCCCCCGGCUCAACCGGGGAGGGUCAUUGGAAACUGGUUGACUUGAGUGCAGAAGAGGAGAGUGGAAUUCCAUGUGUAGCGGUGAAAUGCGUAGAUAUAUGGAGGAACACCAGUGGCGAAGGCGACUCUCUGGUCUGUAACUUACGCUGAGGCUCGAAAGCGUGGGUAGCAAACAGG